rnacentral:tRNA from 1 species
UCUAAUAUGGCAGAUAAGUGCAAUGGGUUUAAGCUCCAAAUAUAAAGUAAAAUAACUAUACUUUUAUUAGAA